rnacentral:tRNA from 1 species
CGGGAUGUAGCGCAGCUUGGUAGCGUACCUGUCUUGGGAACAGGUGGUCGCAGGUUCAGCCGCAGGCGCCCGAACUUGUUUCGGGCUCAAUCCUGUCAUCUUCA